rnacentral:piRNA from 1 species
UAACAGGAAAUGCACUGACCACACCACAU